rnacentral:rRNA from 1 species
UACGAACUGUGCAAACGUUAUUCGGAUUCACUGGGCUUAAAGGGUGCGUAGGCGGCUUGCCAAGUAGGGUGUGAAAGCCCCCGGCUUAACCGGGGAAUUGCGCCCUAAACUGGCGAGCUGGAGUGAGAUAGGGGUGUGUGGAACUUCCGGUGGAGCGGUGAAAUGUGUUGAUAUCGGAAGGAACGCCGGUGGCGAAAGCGAGCCUCUGGACAGUUACUGACGCUGAUGCACGAAGGCCAGGGGAGCAAACGGG